AGUGAACGCUGGCGGCGUGCUUAACACAUGCAAGUCGAACGAGUACGGAUUAUAGCUUGCUAUAAUUGUCAGCUAGGUGGCGCACGGGUGAGUAAUGUAUAGGUAAUAUGCCUCUUACUAAGGGAUAACAAAUGGAAACGUUUGCUAAUACCUUAUACUCCUUAUUAACAGAAGUUAAUAAGGGAAAGAUUUAUUGGUAAGAGAUUAGCCUGUAUUGUAUCAGUUAGUUGGUGGGGUAAUGGCUUACCAAGACUAUGACACAUAACUGGUUUGAGAGGGUGAGCAGUCACACUGGAACUGAGACACGGUCCAGACUCCUACGGGAGGCAGCAGUGGGGAAUAUUGCACAAUGGACGAAAGUCUGAUGCAGCAACGCCGCGUGGAGGAUGACACAUUUCGGUGCGUAAACUCCUUUUAUAUGAGAAGAUAAUGACGGUAUUAUAUGAAUAAGCACCGGCUAACUCCGUGCCAGCCGCCGCCGUAA
rnacentral:rRNA from 1 species